GGCAGUAGCGCGGUGGUCCCACCUGACCCCAUGCCGAACUCAGAAGUGAAACGCCGUAGCGCCGAUGGUAGUGUGGGGUCUCCCCAUGCGAGAGUAGGGAACUGCCA
rnacentral:rRNA from 1 species